AGAGUUUGAUCCUGGCUCAGGAUGAACGCUGGCGGCGUGCCUAAUACAUGCAAGUCGAGCGAACGGACGAGAAGCUUGCUUCUCUGAUGUUAGCGGCGGACGGGUGAGUAACACGUGGAUAACCUACCUAUAAGACUGGGAUAACUUCGGGAAACCGGAGCUAAUACCGGAUAAUAUUUUGAACCGCAUGGUUCAAAAGUGAAAGACGGUCUUGCUGUCACUUAUAGAUGGAUCCGCGCUGCAUUAGCUAGUUGGUAAGGUAACGGCUUACCAAGGCAACGAUGCAUAGCCGACCUGAGAGGGUGAUCGGCCACACUGGAACUGAGACACGGUCCAGACUCCUACGGGAGGCAGCAGUAGGGAAUCUUCCGCAAUGGGCGAAAGCCUGACGGAGCAACGCCGCGUGAGUGAUGAAGGUCUUCGGAUCGUAAAACUCUGUUAUUAGGGAAGAAUAUAUGUGUAAGUAACUGUGCACAUCUUGACGGUACCUAAUCAGAAAGCCACGGCUAACUACGUGCCAGCAGCCGCGGUAAUACGUAGGUGGCAAGCGUUAUCCGGAAUUAUUGGGCGUAAAGCGCGCGUAGGCGGUUUUUUAAGUCUGAUGUGAAAGCCCACGGCUCAACCGUGGAGGGUCAUUGGAAACUGGAAAACUUGAGUGCAGAAGAGGAAAGUGGAAUUCCAUGUGUAGCGGUGAAAUGCGCAGAGAUAUGGAGGAACACCAGUGGCGAAGGCGACUUUCUGGUCUGUAACUGACGCUGAUGUGCGAAAGCGUGGGGAUCAAACAGGAUUAGAUACCCUGGUAGUCCACGCCGUAAACGAUGAGUGCUAAGUGUUAGGGGGUUUCCGCCCCUUAGUGCUGCAGCUAACGCAUUAAGCACUCCGCCUGGGGAGUACGACCGCAAGGUUGAAACUCAAAGGAAUUGACGGGGACCCGCACAAGCGGUGGAGCAUGUGGUUUAAUUCGAAGCAACGCGAAGAACCUUACCAAAUCUUGACAUCCUUUGACAACUCUAGAGAUAGAGCCUUCCUCUUCGGGGGACAAAGUGACAGGUGGUGCAUGGUUGUCGUCAGCUCGUGUCGUGAGAUGUUGGGUUAAGUCCCGCAACGAGCGCAACCCUUAAGCUUAGUUGCCAUCAUUAAGUUGGGCACUCUAAGUUGACUGCCGGUGACAAACCGGAGGAAGGUGGGGAUGACGUCAAAUCAUCAUGCCCCUUAUGAUUUGGGCUACACACGUGCUACAAUGGACAAUACAAAGGGCAGCGAAACCGCGAGGUCAAGCAAAUCCCAUAAAGUUGUUCUCAGUUCGGAUUGUAGUCUGCAACUCGACUACAUGAAGCUGGAAUCGCUAGUAAUCGUAGAUCAGCAUGCUACGGUGAAUACGUUCCCGGGUCUUGUACACACCGCCCGUCACACCACGAGAGUUUGUAACACCCGAAGCCGGUGGAGUAACCUUUUAGGAGCUAGCCGUCGAAGGUGGGACAAAUGAUUGGGGUGAAGUCGUAACAAGGUAGCCGUAUCGGAAGGUGCGGCUGGAUCACCU
rnacentral:rRNA from 5 species